rnacentral:rRNA from 1 species
UGGCGGACGGGUGAGUAAUGUCUGGGAAACUGCCCGAUGGAGGGGGAUAACUACCGGAAACGGUAGCUAAUACCGCAUAACGUCGCAAGACCAAAGAGGGGGACCUUAGGGCCUCUUGCCAUCGGAUGUGCCCAGAUGGGAUUAGCUAGUAGGUGGGGUAAUGGCUCACCUAGGCGACGAUCCCUAGCUGGUCUGAGAGGAUGACCAGCCACACUGGAACUGAGACACGGUCCAG